rnacentral:rRNA from 1 species
ACAGAUUUGAAAAGUGUUGUAUGACAUUAACGGGUUAUUCAAGGAAUAUAUUGCUAUUAAUAAAAAAGGUUAAUAAUAGUAUAAAUAUAUUAUUAAUAAUAUAUUAUAAUAUACUUAAGACCUAAGGGAAACCUUAAUAAUAAACGUGAAGAACUGAAUCAUCUAAGUAUUCAUAGGAAAAGAAAUCAAAAGAGAUAUUAUGAGUAAUGGCGAGUGAAAGUAAUAAAGUCGUAAAUCAAUAAGUAUUAUUUUAUCAAGAAAGUAAGAACAAAGAUAACUAAAUCUAAGACUAAAUAUUAUUAAUAAGCAGAAAAAGUACCGAAAGGGAAAAUAUGAAAUGGAUAAUCUAUAAGCAACAUGAGAUUUAUUAAAAUAAAUUUAAUGUGUACCUUUUGCAUAAUGGGCCAGCAAGUAAUGUGAUUUAGCAAAAUGAACUUAUAUAUAAAUAGAAUAUAUAAUAAUAAAUAAUUAAUUAUUUAUUGAAAAAUGUUAAUAGUAGUUAAAUUGCAUUGGCCCGAAAAUAAAAGAUCUUAUCAUUGCAAGAUAUAAAAAAAAUUAAUAUUUUUUUAUUGAUCGAAUGGGUUAAUGUUGCAGUAUUAUCCAAUUAGUGGUGAUAAGUAAGUGAAAGACUAACCUGUUUUAUAGAUAGCUGGUUCUCUGUGAAAUAUAUGUUAGUAUAGCGGUUUAAAUUUAAUAAUUAUAAGGUAUAGCACUUAAUAUUUUUCUUAUCAUUAAUUUAUUAAUGAUAAAUGGGGGUUAAUAAUUAACUUAUCAUGUAUAUUUAAUCUCAUAAUAUUAUAAUUAUUUAUUAAACUAGUCAGACUAUAUGCGAUAAGGUUUAUAGUCGAGAGGGAAACAGCCCUAAAUUACAUUUAAGGUUCCAAAAUAUGAAUUAAGUGAAUUAAAUGUAUUAAUUAUCAUAAUCAAUUAGUUGGUGGGUUUGACAAUAACUAUCCUAUAAUGAACAUGUAACAAUGCACUAAUAUUUAAAUAUUGAUAACUAAUACAGAUAAUAUACGGAUCUCAUAAAUUCAUUACCGAUAAUGAAUAUAUUAAUAUAUAAUUAAUAAAUAUAUUAAUAUGGUAACAGAGCAUAUAAUAAACUAUAUAUAAUAAUUAGAUUAAUUGUUAUAUUAUAUAAUUAUAUUAUAAUUAUAUACUUAAUAAACAUAUAAUAAUAAUUUAUUUAAUAAAUGUAUUAAUUUUAAUGUUUAUUAUUUUAAAGUUAAUUAUAUUGAGAAUGCUGGCAUGAGUAGCGAAAAAUAAGUAUAAUGUAAAUUAUAUAAACUUAUUCACAUAAUACAUAUGGUUUUACUAUAAAUUCGGUCCUUAAGUUGGUUUACAGAUUUAGUAAACACGAUAGGUUUCAGUUAAAUAUUAUUAUAUAUAUUAAAUAAUUAAUUUAAUAUGGGCACGUAUAAAUAUUAUUAAUAAUAAUAUUGUAUUAUAUUAGUGUACAAGAAAUAAAUAAUAAUUAGAACCGUAAUUAAGACCGACACAGGUGUGUAUAGUAGAGAAUAUGAAAGUGAAUGGAUGAAGUAUCUUGAAGGAACUCGGCAAAAAAUACCUCCACGUUUGUCAAUAAAGGGAAAUUAAAAAUAAGAUUAUACAACUGUUUACUAAAAACACAGCACAUUGCGGAUAUAAAAAUAUUAGUAUAAUGUGUGAAUUCUUCUCAAUGAUUGAACAAAUAAGAUACAAAAUUGUAAAAGGUUUUGUAUUAACAGUUAGUCAAAUAGAAGCCUUAUUCUGAGGGUUAUAAUGUAGCGAAAUGCCUUGGCUCAUAAUUAUAGUCUUGCAUGAAUGGAGUAAUGAUAUAAUAACUGUCUCCAAGAUACGUCCAGCGAAAUUGUAUUAGCAGUGAAGAUACUGUUAAAUUACAGAUAGACGGAAAGACCCUAUGCAGCUUUACUAUAUACAGAUAAACUGUUGAGUAUUUCUAAAUAUUCAGUUUAUGAAGUAGCUAAUAGAUUUAAUUAAUAAAUUAAAUCAUUUUUGUAGUAAAAUUGAGAAGCUUCUUGUUUAAAAAUACUUAACUUAUCUUAAUAAUAAUUUAAUGUUUAAUAUAACUAAAUUAUAUAUAUUAUUAUUAAUAAUAAUAAUAUAUCAAGAGACAGUUUCUGUUAGAUAGUUUUGAUGGGGCGUCAUUCUCACAUAAAUAAACUGAGUAAGUCCUUUAUAAUAUAUAUUUUAAAUUAUAAAUUAUUUAUAAUGAUUAUGUAUAUACAAUAUAAUAUUUAUAUUUAUUGAAUAAAUAAUAGAAAAGAGAAAGUAUAGUUAAAUUGUCAUGAAAACAAUUAAUCUAAAUAGAUUUAACAAGUAUAAUAGUAUAACUAUGCAUAAAUUACAACAUAUACAAAUGAAGUAAAUACGUAAGUAUGGUAUAAUGAACAUUUAUUAUAUUUAGUGAUAGAUAAAGAUAACGAAUAAAAGUUACGCUAGGGAUAACAGGGUAAUAUAACGAAAUAGUACAAAUAGUAAGUUAUGUUUGCCACCUCGAUGUCGACUCGUCCUUUCCUACUGGUUGUAGCAGCUAGUAAGGGUUAGACUGUUCGUCUAUUAAAAGGGUACGUGAGUUGGGUUAAAUACGUCGUGAGACAGUAUGGUUCCUAUCUUCUGUAAUGAAUUAUAAAAGUGAAUCUAUAUAUUAGUACGAAAGGACCAUAUAUAAUUAAUCAAUGGUGAAUUAUUAGAUAUAUAAUAAUUUUUUAUUUUUAAAAAUUAUUAAAUAUUAAUACAUAUUAUAUUUUUUUUUAUAUUAUAUAUCUAUGUAGUAUAGCUAAAUUAAUAAAGAAUAAAUAUUGAAAGCAUAUGAAAUAUGAAUUGGUUUCACGGAUAUAAAAUAAUAGUGAUUAUAGAACAUAAUCAAAUAAUAGUGUAUUGCAAUUAAUUUGUAUAUAUAAACUAAUUAACUAUUAUGUCAUACAACUUCUAAUCU